UGGGGAAUUUUGGACAAUGGGCGAAAGCCUGAUCCAGCAAUGCCGCGUGUGUGAAGAAGGCCUUCGGGUUGUAAAGCACUUUUGUCCGGAAAGAAAUCCUUGGCUCUAAUACAGUCGGGGGAUGACGGUACCGGAAGAAUAAGCACCGGCUAACUACGUGCCAGCAGCCGCGGUAAUACGUAGGGUGCAAGCGUUAAUCGGAAUUACUGGGCGUAAAGCGUGCGCAGGCGGUUUGCUAAGACCGAUGUGAAAUCCCCGGGCUCAACCUGGGAACUGCAUUGGUGACUGGCAGGCUAGAGUAUGGCAGAGGGGGGUAGAAUUCCACGUGUAGCAGUGAAAUGCGUAGAGAUGUGGAGGAAUACCGAUGGCGAAGGCAGCCCCCUGGGCCAAUACUGACGCUCACGCACGAAAGCGUGGGAGCAAACAGGAUUAGAUACCCUGGUAGUCCACGCCCUAAACGAUGUCAACUAGUUGUUGGGGAUUCAUUUCCUUAGUAACGUAGCUAACGCGUGAAGUUGACCGCCUGGGGAGUACGGUCGCAAGAUUAAAACUCAAAGGAAUUGACGGGGUCAUAGCUGUUUCCU
rnacentral:rRNA from 1 species